UACGAAGGGUGCAAGCGUUACUCGGAAUUACUGGGCGUAAAGGGUGCGUAGGUGGUUGUUUAAGUCUGUUGUGAAAGCCCCGGGCUCAACCUGGGAACUGCAUUUGUGACUGCAUGGCUAGAGUACGGUAGAGGGGGAUGGAAUUCCGCGUGUAGCAGUGAAAUGCUUAGAUAUGACAUAGAACACCAAUUGCGAAGGCAGCUCACUACGGGAUUAUUGACACUGAGGCACGAAAGCGUGGGGAUCAAACAGG
rnacentral:rRNA from 1 species